rnacentral:rRNA from 1 species
UACGGGGGGGGCAAGCGUUGUUCGGAAUUACUGGGCGUAAAGGGCGCGUAGGCGGCUGUGCAAGUCAGAUGUGAAAGCCCUGGGCUCAACCCAGGAUGUGCAUUUGAUACUGCACGGCUAGAGUGUCGGAGAGGAUGGUGGAAUUCCCAGUGUAGAGGUGAAAUUCGUAGAUAUUGGGAAGAACACCGGUGGCGAAGGCGACCAUCUGGACGACAACUGACGCUGAGGCGCGAAAGCGUGGGGAGCAAACAGG